CUCCAGCCUGGGAAACAAGAGCAAAACUCCACUCAAAAAACAAACAAAUAAAAAAUCAUUGUUAGCAUUGUCCACUGAAAAGGCUUAGAAACAAAUGACCAGCCCAGUACCAUUUGGCACCCCUUAGGGCCCAGGCCAUACUCCCUAAAUAUAAUUUCCUCUUAAAAUAAGCAAUGACUUUUUGGAAGUGUGGCUGAUUCCAUGUUUGAGGCAAAAAAUAUACAGGAUGAGCCUAAAAUAUCUUGUCAUAUCAGAAAGAAAGAAGUUAUCAAAAGCUUCUGGGGUAAUGUGAAAAGGAUUCCAAAGACAAUCCUGGCUAAAGAUAAGACGAUUUGAGCAGCAAUAAGAACAAUAACUGCAAUGAAUUAAAACACAUCAAAUUUUUUAGGUGUACAAGUUCAUAAUUAUACUAAAAAAAAAACCCUAAUUGGUCACUUUUGCAUCCUAACUUUCCUGGAUAAAUUUAUUCCUUGGGGUAACCCAAAUGGUUGAUGAAGGAAGUUUUGUUUCAGUUUUCUAAAAGUAUUCCAGUCAAUAAAAUAAAGAGGGGAUGACAGAAAUAUAAUGUCGUAAUUUUGCAACCCUUAAUGAAGUCAUGGGUCCCAGCAAUGACCAUAAAUGACUGCUAAAUUAAUACAAACAGAAACAACCAGACAUUGUAUGCUCUUCUGAAGGAAGUUCACAUCAGUACUUAUGAAAUGCUCUCUCUUUUUUUUUUUGAAAUGACGGUGUGUCACUCUGUUGCUGUUGCCCAGGCUGGAGUUCAGUGGCAUGAUCUCGGCUGACUGCAACCUCUGCCUCCUUCAUGCCUGCCACAUUUCUCAUCCUCCCUUACAUGUAGAGAUGAAUAUGACCACAUUCUGGCCAAAGACAUGUAAAGGGAAAUAUAAUAAGAGAUAUCCGGAAUGGCCCCUUAAGGGGCUUUUAUUCAGCUGAGAGGGUACACUCUUUGUCCUUCUCUUCUUCCUACUGCCUGAAAUGUGGACAUGAUAGCUGGAAUGCCAGCAGUUAUCUUGGACUUAUGAAGCAACCUUGAAAGAAGGAAGUUACAAACUGGGGAUAGCAGAGCAGAAGUGUGGCUACUUGGUCCCUGAUGGCCGUGAAGUUGCCCUGGACUAACACCAGACAUAUUUUAUAUGGGAGGGAAAUACAAUUCUUAUUAAAUUACAUGAUAUUUGGGUUUUAGAAUAAAUGCUGCUAAAUCUAAUUUUAGCAAAUCCAUCUUUUAUCCUAUCCCUUCAGGUCAGUCUGUCUUUGGUGGUGACAAAAGCCAGGUAGGAUAAUCAUAGUGUUGCCAGAAUAGUUAGCAACCCAAGCCUAUUCCUCAAACUAGUUGAAGAAUGGAUUCCGUGUUCUAGCUCAGUUUCCCCUGUGCAGUGAUACCGAUAAGUAGGACCAGAAAUGAUCCACAACUGGGGCAACUUGAAGCUUCUAGAAUUUGGAGGCAUCUAUAUAAGAAAAAGAACACGAAAUUACAAAUACAAAAUUAGCUACUCUCUCAGGUGGGAUUCCUUAAAAGCAGAGCCUGAGAUGGAGAGUCUUGUGCCAGUGAUUUAUAGGUGGGCUCUCAGGAAAUUGUAAGGGAGAGAGAGAUGCAGGAUAGGGCAGGGGUAAUUAGGCAAAGGGGUGGUUUCAGAAGAGAUCUAGUCUCAGGCUAAUUUCAUGGGAGCUCUGGAGCGUGAAUUACCAUGCUGUGAAUCAAAAGCUUGUAUGCUUUGCCAUUGAUCAGUCAUUGAGGUAGUCCAACCUCCCAGGCAAGGUGAAUCUCCCAGGCCUGGGCAGUCAGUCGGCUGCAGAAGGGUACAGGUGUGGGUCCUUGGUAGUGAACACCUGCAGCAGCUGGGAGAUGGGUGCACUGGCUUGCUGAAGGGAAUCAGGGAAGGAAACUAACAGUUAUUGCUACAGAUAAAAAAGAAGAGAAAAUAGUCAUUUAAAAAUCUUAAGAAGUUGGUAAAUAUUGUAAAUAUCACAAAAUUCAGAAAAAUAUACCAUUUCUCCUCUAUUUUUUGACUUCAUAAUUUUUGAUCACCUCUUCUUAUGACAUUGGCUUUGUAAUGUAGUUUUUGAGAGAUAAUUUAGUCUAGCAUAAUUGAUUAAAUUAGUUUUUAUUAUUGAUCAUUUAGAAAAGUUUCUUUUAGCUUCAUUAUUUAGCUAUAAUCCAUUACAAGUAAUGCCAUGUAUAUUUUUAGGAUUAUUGUUAAAUUUGGUAAAGCCUCUAUCAAAUUUUUUUUUGUAUAUGGAUUGUAAGAUUUAGAGGCAUUUCAAGUGUUCUUCAACAGUGAUAAAUCUUAAAUUCUCUUUGAAUUGGCCACACUCAGUUUGUCUUCAAUGUCUUAUCUCAAUGGUAUAAUGAGUUUAU